UACGUAGGGUGCGAGCGUUAAUCGGAAUUACUGGGCGUAAAGCGUGCGCAGGCGGUGAUGUAAGACAGAUGUGAAAUCCCCGGGCUCAACCUGGGAACUGCAUUUGCGACUGCAUCGCUGGAGUGCGGCAGAGGGGGAUGGAAUUCCGCGUGUAGCAGUGAAAUGCGUAGAUAUGCGGAGGAACACCGAUGGCGAAGGCAAUCCCCUGGGCCUGCACUGACGCUCAUGCACGAAAGCGUGGGGAGCAAACAGG
rnacentral:rRNA from 1 species